rnacentral:misc_RNA from 1 species
AACAAAGCCUGCAAUUUACGUGGGCUUUUAAAGUUCAAAGAGGCAGAGGUAAAAGUGCCAUUAGAUGAAGUGGAACCAGCCAGUGAAAUUGUUAAACGGUUCUGUACUGGAGCUAUGAGUUAUGGAUCAAUAUCCUUGGAGGCACACACAACACUGGCUAUUGCUAUGAAUAAAAUUGGAGGGAAAUCAAACACUGGUGAGGGAGGUGAACAACCAUCUCGCAUGGAGCCUUUCCCAAAUGGUUCAAUGAAUCCAAAGAGAAGUGCAAUCAAGCAGGU